UACAGAGGGUGCAAGCGUUGUCCGGAAUCACUGGGCGUAAAGGGCGCGUAGGCGGCCUGAUAAGUCGGGGGUGAAAUUCUGCGGCUUAACCGCAGGACGGCCUUCGAGACUGUCGGGCUUGAGCACGGUAGAGGCUGGUGGAAUUCCCGGUGUAGCGGUGGAAUGCGUAGAGAUCGGGAAGAACAUCGGUGGCGAAGGCGGCCAGCUGGGCCGUUGCUGACGCUGAGGCGCGAAAGCUAGGGGAGCAAACGGG
rnacentral:rRNA from 1 species